GAAGAGGACCUGGUAGUGUUAUAGGAUCCAGUGCUGCUGGUUGUGUUUGUGCUCUGUUCAUGAUAAACAAAGUUGGGGGAGAAGCAUUUGCUCAACUUUGGCGACUUGGUUUUGUUGCCAGUUUCUGUACUAAAUUGAGUGAUACUGUCUCAAGUGAAAUAGGGAAGGCAUAUGGUAGGAUAACGUACCUGGUGACAACUUUUAAGGUAGUUCCUCGGGGAACAGAAGGGGCUGUCAGUCUCGAGGGAACCUUUGCUGGACUCUUAGCAGCAAUUGCUCUUGCAAUU
rnacentral:misc_RNA from 1 species